AUUGAACGCUGGCGGCAUGCUUUACACAUGCAAGUCGAACGGUAACAGGCCGCAAGGUGCUGACGAGUGGCGAACGGGGGAGUAAUGCAUCGGAACGUGCCCAGUCGUGGGGGAUAACGCAGCGAAAGCUGCGCUAAUACCGCAUACGAUCUCUGGAUGAAAGCGGGGGACCGGAAGGCCUCGCGCGAUUGGAGCGGCCGAUGUCAGAUUAGGUAGUUGGUGGGGUAAAGGCCCACCAAGCCAACGAUCUGUAGCUGGUCUGAUGAGGACGACCAGCCACACUGGGACUGAGACACGGCCCAGACUCCUACGGGAGGCAGCAGUGGGGAAUUUUGGACAAUGGGCGCAAGCCCGAUCCAGCAAUGCCGCGUGCAGGAAGAAGGCCUUCGGGUUGUAAACUGCUUUUGUACGGAACGAAACGGUCCGGGUUAAUACCCUGGGCUAAUGACGGUACCGUAAGAAUAAGCACCGGCUAACUUCGUGCCAGCAGCCGCGGUAACAC
rnacentral:rRNA from 1 species